UACGUAGGGUGCGAGCGUUGUCCGGAAUUAUUGGGCGUAAAGGGCUCGUAGGCGGUUUGUCGCGUCGGGAGUGAAAUCCACUGGCUUAACUGGUGGCUUGCUUUCGAUACGGGCAGACUGGAGGGAUGCAGGGGAGAACGGAAUUCCUGGUGUAGCGGUGAAAUGCGCAGAUAUCAGGAGGAACACCGGUGGCGAAGGCGGGUCUCUGGGCAAUAACUGACGCUGAGGAGCGAAAGCGUGGGGAGCGAACAGG
rnacentral:rRNA from 1 species